rnacentral:rRNA from 1 species
UACGAGGGGGGCAAGCGUUGUCCGGAUUUAUUGGGCGUAAAGAGCUCGUAGGCGGUCUGUCGCGUCGGAUGUGAAAACCCAGGGCUCAACCCUGGGCCUGCAUUCGAUACGGGCAGACUAGAGUACGGCAGGGGAGACUGGAAUUCCUGGUGUAGCGGUGAAAUGCGCAGAUAUCAGGAGGAACACCGGUGGCGAAGGCGGGUCUCUGGGCCGAAACUGACGCUGAGGAGCGAAAGCGUGGGGAGCGAACAGG